rnacentral:rRNA from 1 species
UACGAAGGGGGCUAGCGUUGUUCGGAAUCACUGGGCGUAAAGCGCACGUAGGCGGAUCUUUAAGUCAGGGGUGAAAUCCCGAGGCUCAACCUCGGAACUGCCUUUGAUACUGAGGAUCUUGAGUUCGGGAGAGGUGAGUGGAACUGCGAGUGUAGAGGUGAAAUUCGUAGAUAUUCGCAAGAACACCAGUGGCGAAGGCGGCUCACUGGCCCGAUACUGACGCUGAGGCACGAAAGCGUGGGGAGCAAACAGG